rnacentral:rRNA from 1 species
GACGAACGCUGGCGGCGUGCUUAACACAUGCAAGUCGAACGGAAAGGCCCUGCUUUUGUGGGGUGCUCGAGUGGCGAACGGGUGAGUAACACGUGAGUAACCUGCCCUUGACUUUGGGAUAACUUCAGGAAACUGGGGCUAAUACCGGAUAGGAGCUCCUGCUGCAUGGUGGGGGUUGGAAAGUUUCGGCGGUUGGGGAUGGACUCGCGGCUUAUCAGCUUGUUGGUGGGGUAGUGGCUUACCAAGGCUUUGACGGGUAGCCGGCCUGAGAGGGUGACCGGCGACAUUGGGACUGAGAGACGCCCCAGACUCCUACGGGAGGCAGCAGGGGGGAAUAUUGCACAAUGGGCGGAAGCCUGAUGCAGCAACGCCGCGUGCGGGAUGACGGCCUGCGGGGUGUAAACCGCUUUCGCCUGUGACGAAGCGUGAGUGACGGUAAUGGGUAAAGAAGCACCGGCUAACUACGUG